rnacentral:rRNA from 1 species
AUUGAACGCUGGCGGCAGGCUUAACACAUGCAAGUCGAGCGGGGGAAGGUAGCUUGCUACCGGACCUAGCGGCGGACGGGUGAGUAAUGCUUAGGAAUCUGCCUAUUAGUGGGGGACAACAUCUCGAAAGGGAUGCUAAUACCGCAUACGUCCUACGGGAGAAAGCAGGGGAUCUUCGGACCUUGCGCUAAUAGAUGAGCCUAAGUCAGAUUAGCUAGUUGGUGGGGUAAAGGCCUACCAAGGCGACGAUCUGAAGCGGGUCUGAGAGGAUGAUCCGCCACACUGGGACUGAGACACGGCCCAGACUCCUACGGGAGGCAGCAGUGGGGAAUAUUGGACAAUGGGGGGAACCCUGAUCCAGCCAUGCCGCGUGUGUGAAGAAGGCCUUAUGGUUGCAGAGCACUUUAAGCGAGGAGGAGGCUACUUUAGUUAAUACCUAGAGAUAGUGGACGUUACUCGCAGAAUAAGCACCGGCUAACUCUGUGCCAGCCGCCGCUGUAA